GUAGUCGUGGUUCUGUGGUAGAAUUCUCACCUUCCGUGCGGGAGACCCGGGUUCCAUUCCUGGCCAAUACA
rnacentral:tRNA from 1 species